UAGAUCGAUGGACGCGAAUCUUGUAAACUGACCGAAGCCCCCACGAUCCACCCCUACAUCCCCGCACCGCCCGAGCCCGCUCCCUACAGCGCGCCGCCGCCCCUGGCCUCCUUCCUCCACCAGCCAAGCUCACCGCCGCCCGGGCCUCCUUCCUCCUUCGGCCAAGCUCGCCGCCGCCCCCGGUCCUCCUACCUCCUCCGGCCAAGCUCGCCGCCGCCCCGGGCCUCCUUCCUCCUCCGGCCAAGCGCGCCACCGCACCCGCUCCUCCUUCUUCCUUCGGCCAAGCAGGGCGCCAUCGCCGCCGGCGCGCCUUACCUCAUGCGCGACCGUGGCCCCUGCCGCACCCCCACCGCUACCCUGUCUGUGGAUCCCCACGGCAUGACAUGGAGGUCGCCACCUCCCGCGGCCAUGGUGAACACCUCCGCCGCUGGGCUAGCUCUAGCGCCGCCCCCCUCACCUGCCCUCCCCCUCCAGCAACUCUACUAGCAUGCACGACGCUCCCUCCGGCAAGCAGCUCCGCGCCACACGAUAGUUCCCCCCACGCCUACGGUCCUUUGCAUCCAGCACUGCUGACACGCAACCUCUUCUCCGUUUUCUCUUCAUUAUGACAUUCAGUUGCGGUUCAACAAAAAUAACAGGAGCAGUACAUACAUCUCUUUUCUCUCUACUGCUCUUUUCUCUCACUAAUUUGUUUCUCUCUGUAGUGCAGCACGAGGGAGGUUGGACGGAUUGCAAGAAAAAAAGCUCAGUUCUACAGACAGCCCCCGCCGCCCACACGGACUACUUCCUCCUGUCCUCAUCCAGCAGCCAAAUCCCGGCACACCUGAUAGUUCAAGCUUACACCUGGCCUGCGACCAACUGCAUCGCCUCUAUAAGCUCCUCGGGAAUGACUUGGUAGUAGCUGGGAUCCCCCUACAGCGGCAAAAUCCCGGCGCACCCAGGCGCCGCUCGUGAUUUCAGCCAUUUGCCAAAAUCCCGGCAACAAACAAGAACAGAAGUUCAGUGUGUAUUUUAAGAAGAAAACCCAACAAUGGCGGCUGCACUGGAGCCGCAGGACUACUAUUGCUGAUAGGUUUGCGAACUAAUAAACAUUCUUUUUAUGUUCCUGUGAUGUUUCAUAUUUUUGUGAACUGAUAGUUGAUGCUCUUUGUGGACUGAUAGCUGAUACUUUUUGUUAACCGAUAAACUGAAUAAAUGAGAUGGAUGUAUUAUCAGGCCGUGAAAAUGAUUUAAAAAAUAUGUGCAGUUUAGCGGAUGAGUAUUAUGUAUGUCCUUCUAAUCUGAAGGUAGUGGCACCACUAAGAAAAACAAAAUAAUCAGUUUUUUUGUAGCUACGGAAUGGGCAUUUGGCUCAGUAAUCUUCCAUUGCUAGAGCGCUCAAGCCGUUCACCCUUACCACCACAACCCGUUCACCUCCGCCACACGAGGCCGUGCGAUGAUGCAACUAUCAGAACAUUCACCUCUGCCACAGGAGGCCGAUGCAACGCUAAGAAUGUUUUGUUCUUUUUCAAUACAUGUUUUGUGUGCUUUUUAGUACACCUACUUAAUGAUUCUAUGUCCAAUUUCCCCUGUUUAAGUGUUCUUCCUAUAGCACAACAGGAGUUGUGUGUUAUGCUUAAUAAGCAUUUGAGAAAACCUUGUAUGGAUCGAAACUAGCAUAUGUUCUGUUCUAUUCUUGUAAAUGAAGCUCCACUUUCGUUU